rnacentral:sRNA from 7 species
ACCUGGUCCAAUAGUAAUGAGUCAACAUAAAUUACUACUGUUAGUUAAACUAACUUUUCUAUAUUCCAUCCUUCUGUUAACCUUGACUGUUCU